UUGGGGUUUUGGGGGCCAGAGCUUUAUUGCAAAACCCUUUUUCCCCUUUUGCCUUUGCUGUCUACUCAAUUUAUACACACUCUAAUUAAUUUUAAAACGAAUGUAAUUGAUGUAACGCAUCUAAUACUAAGUUUCAACAACGGAUCUCUUGGCUCUCGCAUCGAUGAAGAACGCAGCGAAAUGCGAUAAGUAAUGUGAAUUGCAGAAUUCAGUGAAUCAUCGAAUCUUUGAACGCACCUUGCGCUCCUUGGUAUUCCUUGGAGCAUGCCUGUUUGAGUAUCAUGAAAUCUUCAAAGCAAACCUUUUGUUAAUUCAAUCGGUCUCUUGCUUUGGUAUUGGAGGUCUUUGCAGCUUCACACCUGCUCCUCUUUGUUUAUUAGCUGGAUCUCAGUGUUAUGCUUGGUUCCACUCGGCGUGAUAAGUUAUCUAUCGCUGAGGACACCGUAAAAAAGUGGCCAAGGUAAAUGCAGACGAACCGCUUCUAAUAGUCCAUUCACUUGGACAAUUAAAUUUUUAUGAUC
rnacentral:rRNA from 1 species